rnacentral:rRNA from 1 species
AUUCCAGCUCCAAGAGCGUAUAUUAAAGUUGUUGCAGUUAAAAAGCUCGUAGUUGGAUUUCUGGUAUAAUGCGCCUGGCCCGCUCCGUUUCGGAGUGAGUGCCGGUGCGCGUUUGCCAUCCUUCUAGAAAAUGUUUCUACCCUUCGCUGGGCCGGAUUCACGAUCUAGAUCUUUUACUUUGAAAAAAUUAGAGUGUUUAAAGCAGGCUUUUGCUAUGAAUACAUUAGCAUGGAAUAAUAAUCUAGGACUUCGGUUCUAUUUUGUUGGUUUCUAGUACUGAAGUAAUGAUUGAUAGGGAUAGUUGGGGGUGCUAGUAUUGGGCGGCCAGAGGUGAAAUUCUUGGAUUCGCUCAAGACUAACUUAUGCGAAAGCAUUCACCAAGGAUGUCUUCAUCA